CUUAAUUUUACGUCCCCAUCAUACCCAUAGGUUGUUCCGUUUGCAACCCCUCCAGGAGAAUUAUCAUGCGUCUCCUACUGCCUCUUCCUCACCCUCCGUCUCGCCGCAUCUUUUCUUUGGGAUGUCAAUGACGUUGGUGCUCCAUCCAAGUUUGAGUUGUUAAAGAAUUGGCCAGCCGACGGAGAGAACAGCACGUACUGGGUGAUACAAUCAUACUCAUUCUGGGCAACGGCCGUGACAAUCGAUUCAGAUCUAUGAGGUGUACGUGCAUGCUAAAUUGAUCCGGCUGAUUUUGACGAAGACUUGAAGACCAUGUGCUGUGUGACGAGCUCAACACAGCCUGCGGAUAGAGCAGCCAUGAGUAGAUAAAUUGGGAGGAUAUAACUGAACAGGGAAGAAGCGCUUUGAGAUUUGGGAGGACUCUUAUUCUGGGAAGAGUCUAAUUAGAAGGAGAAAAAGACCCGGUCUCAUAGGAUUAUUUACCUACGAUUUUCUGCAAUCAUGCCAUCAGUGAACUACGUCUCUGAUUGAUUCCUGUCAAGACUGCAAGUCGAAAGAAUUGGAUGUGGCUCCCUAUGGCAUCUACGUAUCAUGUAGGCCGUCUACCUCCUCGAUCUACACCAUUGGACAACGGCCAAAGUUUGAGGCCAUCCGGGACAACCGUUGAAGAAUUGGAUGUCACUUGGUAAGCAAUGUGCUAUUCUCUUUCAUGUCAGAUUCAAGAGUUACUGAACCACUAUCAAUUGAUGGGUCACCCGCUGAGACCACCCAUGGUGACGGAGCAAUUGAUCUUUUAUGGUGACGGAGUCAUUACGACCGUGUGAGCCGUACUCACCUUGGCCUCUUCCCCUGGAAGAAAAAAGGAUAGAGAAUUUGAGCGUGGUCUCCUCCUAACCAUCCCAAGUUGUUGGAUGCCUGAUCUUACGUGGUUUCUCUUUAUUUUACGCACAUGCCUUCGCUCCUUCAUAGCUGCGUCCGCUGAGCAUUGUCGAGCCGCACAAGAUCUCCAGGUUCCAAAGCCCUAGCAUCUCGCUUAUUUCUCCUGCUUUGUUGUACCGCUGCACCAAUCCUUUCUAAGCGCCCACGCCAUCAGGCAUCAAGCCUCUUUAUGCGCUGGCGGCCAGAUGCAGUCACCUUUCAGACCACAUGACACCUCACCGUCACGGCCGAUGCCUAUGAACUAGAAUAUACGUGUGGUCAUCCUCAAGCUUCUUAAAUCGCAGAGGUAAUUGGUGUUACAUAUAUGGAGUUCAUGGGUACGCAGUCUUAAUUGAUGCAGAGUCAGAUCUUGCUGAUAAAUAGAUGAAGAAAAUAGAUGCAUACAUAGAUGGUUGGAUUCUCAAGUAUGAAUACAGAGAUAAAUGAUAUAUUGCGCCCUGCCCACCGAACGUAUGAAGCCACACAUGCCUUCACGUGUCUCUAAUCUCCGAACCAGACAUCACACAGAUUCUUCAUGAUUUCGGAUGUUCACUACUUGCAGGAAAAGGUGUUGGAAGGCUGGGGUAGUUGAACGUCAAUAUAGGUCACAACAGGUGUACAACAUGAUCAGCGGACUUACAAGUUCAUUCAUAUAAGCUAACAUCAAUUGGAUCUUCCCUCAGAAAAAAUCUGCGGGGGCUAUCUUGCAGUCUGGCUUCAUCCCAUGUCGCCAAAAGUGCCAGUUCUGGGUGAAAUUUCUGCUUCAUACUUCUAGAAGCAUGCUGAUAGUUCAAUCGAUGUUUUGUAGCAUCUCCAGAUUAUAAUAUGGUUGUCUGUGACCCAAAAAAUACUGCAAAGCAGACAUAACUUCUGUUGUACCUUAGCACAAAGAAAAUUAGUCGUUGAAAAUACAUAUUUGCUUUCCUCAAGACAAAUGUAAUUCUUUUGUACUGGAAGAACUCUAGAUUAGAUGCGUGAUACCAAUUUCACCUUCGGUAUGGUCAUAUAUUUUAAGAUAUGCUUUUGGCUGUCCAACAACACUUACUUUUACCAUCUGUGUUUGAUGAAAGACACAGGAAAA